CUUUCUUUUGCAUUCUGUUUAGCUUCCUUGUCAUCAAGAGCCGGGCUCAUUGCCAUACUCGCUAUUGAGUUUCGUGAGUUCGUGCUGAUGCAGCAACCAAACGUUGCGGCAACUAAAACCUGCUCAGUUAAAAACCAAAAAGGUAUUUUAUUACGGUAUAGAGGGGAGCCUGCAAAGAAGACAAUGAUAGACAAAAAUAGGCUGAGCAUUGCAAUUCCAAAGCCCCACUCCCACCCUUUGUUGUCUUCAACCCACACCACCAAUGUCACUGCAAUUAGGCCACCACAUGAGAGGCAAAAGACGAAGUAGUUGAAGAAUGUGGAUCUUCUUUUCCUGCCCUGUGGGGUACUGUCAUCAAACUGCUCAGCCCCAUGUGAUGGCAGCGACCCCUUUAUGCCACCGACCCCUAAUGCCACCAGAUAUAGUCCCGCGAACAGCAUUGCUGCUUUGCCACCGCUCGCUUCUUCACACACGGCGUAAUGAUUUGCUUGGCGAUCACAUGGAGGAGGCAUCAGUGAUGGCAUCUUAGCUUGUAUCAACAAUAUUGCCAACCCCUGCUCAAAUGCUUGGCUUUAGAUUUUGCAUAUUGUACAAGAAACUAUGAAAAAAGAAGAAGCAAAGAAGUUGACUGAGCCCCGAGGAUAAGAAAAGUAGAGUUGUAUGACACAGUUAUAGCUUUAUUACUAUUAUCAUCUCCUCGAUCAAUUGUAAUACAUAUUUUAUAAAAGGAUAAUGGUUUGAUAAAUUUAACUUUGAUAAUGUUAUCAAACUCGUCGAAGUGCCAAAGGUUGUCGUGUGGUUGUCAGUAGAAGGAGUUAAUAAAACAUGAAGUUGAUGUCUUUUAGUUA